rnacentral:rRNA from 1 species
CCUACGGGUGGCUGCAGUGAGGAAUAUUGGUCAAUGGACGAGAGUCUGAACCAGCCAAGUAGCGUGAAGGAUGACUGCCCUAUUGGUUGUAAACUUCUUUUAUAUGGGAAUAAAACGUUCCACGUGUGGGCUUUUGUAUGUACCUUAUGAAAAAGCAUCGGCUAACUCCGUGCCAGCAGCCGCGGUAAUACGGAGGAUGCGAGCGUUAUCCGGAUUUAUUGGGUUUAAAGGGUGCGUAGGUGGGCUGUUAAGUCAGCGGUAAAAGACCGGGGCUCAACACCGGCGAGCCGUUGAAACUGGCUGUCUUGAGAUGUCGAGAGGUAUGCGGAAUGCGCAGUGUAGCGGUGAAAUGCUUAGAUAUUGCGCAGAACUCCGAUUGCGAAGGCAGCAUACCGGCGGCGAUCUGACGCUGAGGCACGAAAGCGUGGGUAUCGAACAGGAUUAGAUACCCGAGUAGUC